CUGCGGCGUCCAUCGCGCAGGAGACCUGGGGUCGGUGAAACUAGGGGGUUUUCCGUAUAUGACCGCCACACCACUGAUAGCUACUCUCCCUUCGCUGAUAAAUUCACUAGUAUGAUCCUUAUAUGGAUGUCCUACGAGGAGAGGCUUCUAAAUGUGUGAAAUCUCUCUCGUGCCUCUUGGCGGUGCUGCGGUGCUGGAGAACAAGGUUCGAAGACAGGCUUCUGCUCGCUAGACGAGGGGUCACUUUCCUCUCGAGGAAGGUGAGUCGAAGUGAGGUGUGCGAAAGCGCUGCGCAGGGAGUGAGGAAGAAGACCGGAGUACCGGCCACAGCUGCUAAUGGGGAUCGUAUUCCCCCCCCCCUGCGCAUGUUUGUCCCGUCGGUCGUUUUUGGACGGAAGAAGCAGUAGGGAAAUUUGAUGUCGUUGUCGUCGGCCAGGGAUGAGGGUCUUUGAGUUUAUGUUGAUGUUAAGGACGGCAGCGGGGCCCUGUCAACGGGAAAGGGUUGUCUCUGAUUGCUGUCAUUCUCAAUUGAGUUGCUGUUGUUUGUGCUGCACGUAUUGUGGGUGCUGCGCGAUUGCGCAGUUUUGGCGCUUUUCUCUCUGCGCGUGCAGGGGCUUCACAAUUAGUGGUAACCGGCAAUACGGCUGACUUGAAUCAGCUAGUUGCCGAAUGCUAAAUCAGACGAGCUACAUCUCUUCUUAUAAAAUGUUUCAGUACCUCAUUAUGCUGUGCAAUAGGAUGCACGGUUUUGGGUUGUGUGCGCUGUAUAAAGAGGCGCAGAGGAGCACGUGAAGUGCAAGGUCAGUGCGAUGUAGAUUUUUUGGAAGUCACG
rnacentral:misc_RNA from 1 species